GAUAAGCCAUGCAUGUCUCAGUACAAGCGAUCUUGUACCGUGAAACUGCGAAUGGCUCAUUACAACAGUUAUAGUUUAUUUGAUCGUGCGGAGCUACGUGGAUAACCGUAGGAAUUCUAGAGCUAAUACAUGCACCGUCGCCGAGGAGCUUUAGUUAGACCUCGGCGGGAUUUAUUAGAUCAAAAACCAAUCGCUUUUUCAUUUUGGUGAAAAAGCGUGGCGGGAUGAAUCAUAAUAACUUGACCGAAUCGUAUGGCCGUGAUUUGGCCGACGAUAAAUCAUUCAAAUUUCUGCCCUAUCAACUUUCGAUGGUAGGGUAGUGGCCUACCAUGGUGUUGACGGGUGACGGAGAAUUAGGGUUCGAUUCCGGAGAGGGAGCCUGAGAAACGGCUACCACAUCCAAGGAAGGCAGCAGGCGCGCAAAUUACCCAAUCCUGACUCAGGGAGGUAGCGACAAGAAAUAACGAUAGUAGGCUCGUUCGAGUCUGCGCAUCGGAAUGAGGACAAUUUACACCCCUUCUCGAGGAUCCAUUGGAGGGCAAGCCUGGUGCCAGCAGCCGCGGUAAUUCCAGCUCCAAUAGCGUAUACUAAAGUUGUUGCAGUUAAAAAGCUCGUAGUCGAAUGAUGAUUCUUCUGUCUGCGCGGACACUUAGGUGUAACUUAAGAUCGUCUGUGCACAAGAAUCACCUUGGUGUGGUACGAAUUUAGCAGAAAUAUUCUACUAAUGUUCACCACACACAUUACUGUGAACAAAAUAGAGUGUUCAUGGCAGGCCAUUAAGGCUUGAAUACCUCAGCAUG
rnacentral:rRNA from 1 species